GAUGAACGCUGGCGGCGUGCCUAAUACAUGCAAGUCGAGCGAACGGACGAGAAGCUUGCCUCUCUGAUGUUAGCGGUGGACGGGUGAGUAACACGUGGAUAACCUACCUAUAAGACUGGGAUAACUUCGGGAAACCGGAGCUAAUACCGGAUGAUAUUUUGAACCGCAUGGUUCAAAAGUGAAAGACGGUCUUGCUGUCACUUAUAGAUGGAUCCGCGCUGCAUUAGCUAGUUGGUAAGGUAACGGCUUACCAAGGCAACGAUGCAUAGCCGACCUGAGAGGGUGAUCGGCCACACUGGAACUGAGACACGGUCCAGACUCCUACGGGAGGCAGCAGUAGGGAAUCUUCCGCAAUGGGCGAAAGCCUGACGGAGCAACGCCGCGUGAGUGAUGAAGGUCUUCGGAUCGUAAAACUCUGUUAUUAGGGAAGAACAUAUGUGUAAGUAACUGUGCACAUCUUGACGGUACCUAAUCAGAAAGCCACGGCUAACUACGUG
rnacentral:rRNA from 1 species